GCGGUUAUGGCGGAAUUGGCAGACGCGCCAGAUUUAGGUUCUGGUGGGAGACCAUGCAGGUUCAAGUCCUGUUAACCGCA
rnacentral:tRNA from 1 species